rnacentral:rRNA from 1 species
UACGGGGGAUGCAAGCGUUAUCCGGAUUUAUUGGGUUUAAAGGGUGCGUAGGCUGUGAGGUAAGUCAGAGGUGAAAGGCUACGGCUCAACCGUAGUAAGCCUUUGAAACUGGGAAACUUGAGUGCAGGAGAGGAGAGUGGAAUUCCUAGUGUAGCGGUGAAAUGCGUAGAUAUUAGGAGGAACACCAGUUGCGAAGGCGGCUCUCUGGACUGUAACUGACACUGAGGCACGAAAGCGUGGGGAGCAAACAGG